AUCGCUGCCGUUGCUGCUUAUUAUUAUUAUUAUCAUUACUGCCAGCCCCAUUGCCGAGAGAUGUCAAUGUGCUGAGGGCGCUCUUCCUCCCAACUCACUGAUAUUCCGGAGGGGCGGGGGGAGAGAAGAGAAAGAGGAAAAACGGAGUGUGCGAGAUGAAGAAGCCUCCUCUGGCCGCGGGGAGAGCAGCGCCGGGGGUUUUCCCCUGGCAAGCCUGACCUUUCAAAUUUGGGGGGGGAGGGCACCGGCGGCGGCGCUGGUGGGCGGGGGGAGAGAGAGCUUCAAAUCGCUUUCUCUGGAGCAGCGUCGGCGGCGAGGCGAGCAGUCUCCUGGCAGUGGGAUGUUCUCAACUUGGUGUUCAUGCCAGCGUCUUUGGCUUGGAUGUAUCAUCGAAACAGUUCCGGUCUCUACUACAGUGUGCUAACUAAUAACUAAAUAAAGAAUGAGGAGAUUUGUUUACUGCAAGGUGGUUCUUGCCACUUCUCUGAUGUGGGUACUUGUGGAUGUCUUUCUGCUCUUGUACUUCAGUGAAUGUAACAAAUGUGAUGACAAGAAAGAGAGGUCCCUGCUGCCUGCUCUAAGGGCUGUUAUGUCAAGAAGCCAAGAAGGACCUGGAGAGAUGGGAAAGGCCGUGCUCAUCCCCAAGGAUGAUCAGGAGAAAAUGAAGGAACUGUUUAAAAUCAACCAGUUUAAUCUUAUGGCCAGUGACUUGAUUGCAUUCAACAGAAGUUUACCUGACGUCAGACUAGAGGGAUGCAAGACAAAAGUCUACCCUGAUGAACUACCAAACACAAGUGUGGUCAUAGUAUUUCAUAAUGAAGCCUGGAGCACUUUGCUUCGAACUAUUUACAGUGUUAUGAAUCGGUCUCCACACUAUCUACUUUCAGAGAUUAUCUUGGUAGAUGACGCCAGUGAAAGAGAUUUUCUGAAGGCUCCAUUAGAGAAUUAUGUGAAAAAUUUGCAAGUGCCAGUAAAAAUUAUUAGAAUGGAACAGCGGUCAGGACUGAUUCGAGCUCGGCUUAGAGGAGCAGCAGCUUCCAAGGGCCGGGUCAUAACUUUCCUGGAUGCACACUGUGAAUGCACUUUAGGCUGGCUGGAGCCCCUGCUGGCAAGAAUAAAGGAAGACAGGAAGAUUGUUGUUUGUCCAAUUAUUGAUGUGAUCAGUGAUGACACUUUUGAAUAUAUGGCUGGGUCAGACAUGACUUAUGGAGGUUUUAACUGGAAACUUAAUUUCCGUUGGUAUCCUGUACCCCAGAGGGAAAUGGACAGAAGGAAAGGAGACAGAACAUUGCCUGUAAGGACCCCUACUAUGGCUGGUGGCCUAUUUUCUAUUGACAGAAACUACUUUGAAGAGAUAGGAACUUACGAUGCAGGAAUGGAUAUCUGGGGUGGAGAGAAUCUUGAAAUGUCUUUUAGGAUCUGGCAAUGUGGAGGCUCUCUAGAGAUUGUAACAUGCUCACAUGUUGGCCAUGUUUUUCGAAAAGCUACACCAUACACCUUUCCUGGUGGUACUGGUCAUGUAAUUAACAAGAAUAAUAGAAGACUUGCAGAAGUAUGGAUGGAUGAAUUUAAAGAUUUCUUCUAUAUAAUAUCCCCAGGAGUUGUCAAAGUGGAUUAUGGAGAUGUCUCAGUAAGAAAAGCACUGCGAGAUAACCUCAAAUGUAAACCAUUUUCAUGGUACCUAGAAAAUAUCUAUCCAGACUCCCAGAUUCCAAGAAGAUAUUACUCACUUGGAGAGACCAUAAAUGAUACUCCCACUAUCAGAAAUGUUGAGACCAACCAAUGCUUAGAUAAUAUGGGACGAAAGGAAAAUGAAAAAGUGGGCAUAUUCAACUGCCAUGGCAUGGGAGGAAACCAGGUAUUUUCCUACACUGCUGACAAGGAGAUUCGCACAGAUGAUUUAUGUUUGGAUGUCUCUAGGCUCAAUGGUCCUGUGAUUAUGCUGAAGUGUCACCACAUGAGAGGAAAUCAGCUUUGGGAGUAUGAUGCCGAGAGAUUUACCUUGCGACAUGUUAACAGUAACCAGUGUCUUGAUGAGCCAUCAGAAGAGGACAAAAUGGUUCCUACCAUGAAGGAUUGCAACGAAAGCCGAUCCCAGCAGUGGCUGCUACGAAACAUGACCUUGGGUGCCUAAAGCCAAGAGGGACUCGCUGUGCUUCCUCAGGCCUUGUAAGGUUCUAGACCUUUCGCACUUCACACCUUUAGACUGGACGAAAGGAUAUUCCUUCUCCUUUGGUGUUGGUGAAGUGAAAGGUUUUGAAUGCUCGGUUAAAAGCCCAUCUGUCUGAAAAAAACAAAGCGAAACAUUUUUUAUUGCUUAAAGCAUGUUUGCACUUUUCCCCUUGGAUUUUUUUAGUCAUUCAGCUAAACACAAAAGUGCUCUCUAGAACAUGACACACACUAUUAUCAAGACAUGAUAUUCUUGAGGAAAUCAAAUUCAUGAAAAACAUUACAAAGCGACACUCCAAGGUUAGGGGGGUGGGGAUUGGCUUGUUGUUGAUUAUGUCACGUUAUGUUGCUUGAAAGUGACAAUGUUAAAUGCCUUACGAAACUCAUUUGCAUUGUGAAAGGUUGUACCAUUUUGUUUUAUCAAAGCUGAGGUGCUUGUACUGGUCCUUCAUGGUGAACAUUUGGGAUAACAUUUGAUUUUAAUCUGCAGUGAUCAUAACAUUUGAUUUUAAUCUGGUGCCAGCCAUAACCAGGGAGUGUUCAACUGAAAGGGUUUCUGAGCAGUAAAUUUACUGUAUAUAAUGGAUGUUUUUCAUGUAUAGUGCCAAUAAAAAGGUGACAUUGCUGUUCAUGAAAACUCCUUGUAAAACCAAGUAAAGUGAUUUAGUGAAUGGAACAUAAAGCAAUUGAAAUUGUAGCAAAAUGCAACACAAUGAUGUUGAAUUUAUAACACAAAGAGAACCCAUAUACCCUUGGUAAGAAUAUACGCCAUUGUGAAGCUUGGUAAUGCCUCUGGCCAAUAUUUGUGUUUUGUAAGUGACACAAAUAUAAGUGAUAACAGAACUUAACCAUCUGAAUCAAAGGGCAGAACAGCCUAUGCUUACGCAAGUAUGCAUUUUACACUCAAGGGUGGAUUAAGCUUUUUGCUGCCCAUAGGCAAAAAGGCUUUUGUUGCCCUUUUACCUUAAACAGAAAAGGUUUGCCUUUUUAAAAAAUAAGGUUAAAGGGGGCGGGAACAUUCUCUUCACCCACUCCACCCUUGCUGCAGCAGCCGCUGCCCACAGAAAGGGGCGACAAAAUUUAACUGGCAAAAUUUGCUUCUCCUUAAAUUUUUUCACCAUAGGCAAAUGCCUACUCUGCCUCGCCAUUAAUCCACCACCAUUUACACUGGAGACUUUACCUGUGUUUGUUGUUAAUGCAAACUCCCUUUUCUGUACAUUAUUAUACUCUUUCAAAAGAUUGCUCUUGGUUUUGUAAGCAUAUGUAAGAGAUGGUCCAUAAUUAUAGUCAUCAUCUCAACUAGUAGAAUAAGUCUUAAACACUUAAUAAGUUCAGCAGUUCUACAUAUGACAACAAUAGACGUGGGACUAAUUAGAAACCCUAUCUGAUAUGCUGAUGAUCUGCAACACAGCUACUUUGGGAGCUAUGUUUGUCCAAGAGGCAAGGUAAAAGUAUAAAUAAUACAGGUGGUCCUCAUCCCCCGCACUUCCGGCAACCUUGGUUUCGCGUAUCUGUGGAUGGGUCUUAGAGACUCAGUUUCUUUAUCCAUGGUGCAAAAAUAGGCUAACAUUUGCCUAUUAGCAGUGGAGGAGUGGCUAGAAAUGACUUCUGGUGUCACUUCCGGCCAGCAUUUUCGAGCACAGAGCCAUUUUGAGGCUCUUUCUUUAAAAAAACAAACAUGUUUUCACCUAAAAUCCGGCUGAUUUGGGGAAUUUCAGGAGCAUUUCUGGAGCCCUGUAGUCCUGGAGAGCAAGUUACUGUGCCGUUCUAAUCUUAUUUCUUCCCUCAUCUUUCUCACUUAAAGAGCGGGGCAAAAGUAGAAAACAAACAUUUGGGGGUGAGAGAAGAAGGCAAAAAGUAAAAAAGCCAGGGCAAAAAGUGGGGAGAAAGGGCAAAAGGCAGAAAGAGAGACAGAAGGGAAAAAGCAGGGAUUGCGUCUGCCCUCCCACCAAACAAGCAAGCUAGUAAAAGAUCAGACUUACCAGCAGCCAGGGAAUCCUUCAGAGCAGGGGGCUUCCUCCAGCCCUUUCUCCUCUGCCUGCAACUUCCUCUUUUGGUCUUUAUGACUGGAACAGCUACUACUCAAGCUGCUGAUUCCCAGGGGACUCCUCCUAGCACUGCCCCCAGGAAGAAGGAGAAAAUGUAUUUAAAAUAUACUCCCUGAAGCAACCAGGAAGUGCAUUUUAACUCAUUAUUUUAUUUCUCCUUGGGGGCAGUACCAGGAGGAGCCCCCUAGGAAUCAGAUUGGCUGGAGCCACUUGAGUAGCAGGUGUUCCAGCCACUAAGACCCAAACAAGAAGUUACAGGCAGAGGAGGAGUGGCUGGAAGAAACUCCCUGCUCUGAAGGCUGCUGCUGAUAAACAGCCUGCUGCUAUUACUGUACAGCAUAUGGACACAUCUGGUGAGAUUACACCACAUCUAAACUGCUACUAAAUAUAAGCUACUGUUUGAUCUCGAGGUGUUGAAUGAACACCAGCAAUGUGUUUUGAAAUAGGUUACGUGAACUAUUAGUGUAAAAGUGUUGGUUUUCAAACAUUCAGAUAUACUUCUGAAAUUCCAGUCUCAUUGUUUCAGAUAUGUCGAUGUCCCCAUUUGCCCCUUAGUCAGGAUGUGAUCAGGACAGCUGGAGUAGUCUGUUUCCUUGCAAACAAGGCCACUCUCAAUUAGGGUUCCAGCCCCAUCUUGACCAUUUCACAGGUUAUUACAUGGCGGUCAAUCCAACUUUGGCUCAAGUUUACACUCGGAGGGAGUCAUAGCCAAUCCCAGCUUCCUAUUGUGUAUAUUUGUGUGAUACACAUGUUUGCAAACAUUUAUGGAAAACGUCUGAAGUGUACACCUUAAACUGGUGUAAUGUAUGAUGCGGCCAUUGAAAAUGACAACUGUGGACUUUGCUGUGUAUUUUAUUUCCCCCGUCACAAAAGGCUGUGUUUGGGAAUUGCUUAUAAAGCUUCCUGGAGGAGUACUUGGGACACACAUACAUAUUACGCUUAUAAGAAUGGGCUGUGGAUUAAAAAAAAUUACACCAUUUUAAAUGUUGUAACAGUUAUUAAAUGUUAACUCUGCUGUAAAUUUUAAAUAUUUAUACAUUUUGUAGAAAUAAAAUAUGCCAGUUUAGUUUUA